GUUACGUUAGUUCUAUCUGAGCGGAGGGGUGUUUUGCUCAGGUGUACUUAGCUGAGAUUACCUUUAUCAAGGCUGAUGGGUUCAUUUUUAUCUAAAUCGAGAAGUGCCGACGAAAAAUUCGGGGAAGAAGAAGCAGACAACGAGUACGUGCUGAUCGAACUAUUAACAUUUUUCCCUUCAACUUCUCCAUUCUAUACCUCUGACGACAUAAGAGUUUCAAAUGAUAGAUCAAACUUUGCGCCAGACGAAAACAGGGAAAAUGUGCCACCUUUGUGUCAAAAAAGUACUGCGGGCGAAAAAGAAAAAUUUGAAGCAGAGUUAGACGAAACAGUUAUCCAUUGGCCGGGAGGGGCAGAAAUAAAACUUCGUCAAAACAAUGCUUUGAUGGAAUUCGCGAAAAUGCAGUACCCACAUUGGAAAAAACCUGGAAAUAAAGUCUCAAUUCCGUGUGUUAAAGUCCCGCGAAUGAUGGUAAGACAUGAAGAUUUGAGCAAAAAACUGCAAACUAAAUACAAAUCGCUCGUAAAAGGAGAAAAAGGAGAAAAUAAAAUUUAUAAACUGUUUACAAACGAAGUAUUAACCGACGAAGCAGGAAUUAUGAUUUUUCCAAAUGUUGAUGGAAGUCACAUUUUUGAAAAAGGAAGCCCUGGUAGCGUAGAAAUUGACAUGAUUGUUGCUCACCCACAAAAAGGUUUGUUCGUUUUCAAUGUCAAAAACAAAACCUUCAACAAAAAUGAAGAAACUCUCAAAGAAAAUGAAAAAAAUGAAGAAACUGAAAAACUGAAACAGGAAAUGAUUAAACACACAAAGUUCUUGAGCUUCCUAUCAUUGUAUAACUAUCCUUGUGUGGAACCUCUUGAUAACGUUCCUAUUCAUGCGGUUUUUUGUUAUAUUCCCGGUGAUAACACUUCCGUAGCAAAACUUUCAGAGGACAGCGCUUGGUAUGUUAAUGCACAAAUUGGUGCCACAAACAAAGUUUUAGUUUUUCAAAAAGCAAGUUUGAAAAACUUCGCUUCGGCUUGGAAAGACAGUUUGCAAGAAAUUCCCGACAUGAUUGAAACAAACCACUUCGACGUUUUGGUUGCCCGACUUGUGGCACUGAAUUCAAUGGGAGGAGCCAGCUCACUUAUCCAUCAAAAGUUUACUUCGAAUGAAAUCCAGUCCAUUCAGGUUAAAACGAGUGAAUUGGAUUCAUGGAUCGAAAAACAAUUCAGCGAAGUACUAACAGACCGAAAAGACGAUAAACAAGAUCUCAUACGCCGCGUGAAAGAGCAAUGUAACAAAACAGGACGUGCAAAAACACGGGUAAUUCUUUGGACAAAAGAACAAUUGGACAUCAUUGCUGCCGUCUUCAUUUUACUUCAAAAGUGUUCAAAGACCACAUUGUUCUCGAAUGCGCCCAAACCGCUCAGAUUAGUUGUUAGUGGGCCAAAGGGAUCAGGAAAGACAAUGCUGAUGAUGUACUUAGCGCAAUUAGCCUGUCGUAUCUUUGAAGAAAACGGCGAUAAACAGUGCAAGGUAGUUAUAUGUGACGGCUCUCGUGGUAAAGCUAAAGUUCUUUUCUCAGAGCUAAAAGAAAGUGUGAGUGGAACAAGCAUCGAAUUUUGGAAAAUAGAAAAAUUAUCUGAACUUCACAGAGGUAUCGUUUUGAUUGACGAAGAUCUAUCUGUUCGUUUCAUAAAAAAUUUACACGGAAAAUUAAAGAAAAACGUUCACUUAUGUUUUUUUUCAUCAAUGAAAACUGCAGAUCCCGAUUUUAGAGCCUGGAGUUCCGAAAACUUCCAGGAGUUCAAGCUGAAACAAACAUUGAGAUCCACAAAACAACUGCACAUGUUUACCGAAAAUAUAAUCAGAAACAUAGUUGGAAGCCACAAGCUAACCGAAUUGUCGGGGAAUCCACCGCAUAGCUUGGACGGUACUAAUAGAGCUGAUAUUUUAUAUGUUGAAUCUGCAGAUGGUCUUCAAAUUGAGACUUUCAUUGAUAAAUGCGUCGAAACAGUGAUGAGAUAUGUUUCACUUUCGUACGCUAUGCCGAGUAUUCUUGUGAUAAUAUCGUUUUUAUCGCCAAAAGCUCAGAUAUUAUUAGUUGCUUGUAUGAAAAAGAAAGGAUUAAUUCUACGCUCUAACUUUUACAAUGUGUACCUUCACGGCUGUCAGAUUUUGCCAAAAAUUCAACUUGAGUCUACCGAAGUUAUAACUGGAAGUGAGUUUGGUACGGUUGUUAUUUUGCUGGAGAAAAACUUCACCGGACAAAAUCUUAAGGAUUUCGUAGAUAGUUUCGUUAUGUCAAUAACACGAGCUACUAUAAACCUGGCAAUAGUUGUAGGCGACAAGUCUUACUUCGAUUCGGAACUGGAAGCAAAUGAGGUCUCUGAUUUAAUUUCGAAUCUAAAAACCCGAAAGUUUUAUAUUAAUGAAAACAAUUGUUCAAAUUACAUCACGGCGGUGUUAGAAGACGAUGAAAUUUGUCGACCAGACAAAAUUAUUGUCAUUAUUGGCAAUAUGCCAAAAUUGACUUGCUUGGAGGAGACUGAAGUUACUCAAAGUUGCCUAAAUUGGUGCUCAACGAAUGAAGUUAAACAGUACUCUUUCAAGGGAAAAGAAAAAGAUACAACGGUGCUGAAUCUAACAAAUAAAGCAAAAACGAGUUCAGAUGAGGCACUGAAGUGGUAUCAACAGCAGUGCAUUGCCACGUUCCUAUUUGUUGUUGAAAAUAGAUUCGACAGAAUCAGUUGCGAAUUAUUGAAUCGGUCAGUUUCUGGAGGCUCAAAUAACUGUUUUGUUAUAGAAUUUACCUAUAUGACAGUUCCUUCGUUUGAUAUAAGUCAAUUCUGUAAAGGCCUUCAAAAUCAAACAGACGCACUUUGUAACAGACCUUUGGUAUUAUGUCCUCAAUUAGAUCAGUACAUUAAAAAAACAGAUGGUAGAAAGUGCAGUUUAAACGAACUGAGGGAAUUGUUAACAGUACUCAAAAUUCAUGUGGAUGCGCAUCCCGAAGACGUCUUUUAUAAGCGCCACCAAUUGGAAUGUUACUUAGAAGCAUACGAGUUGCUUUUCUUAGAGUAUUUCCAGUAUGUAAAAUGUGGUGAUCGAAAGCAAGCAGUAGUUAGCAGACAAAAGGUUGCGGAUAUGCUCGAACUCUGUUCUAACUCCUUGCAUAAACAUUUGGAAAUAAUUGUUCAAAAUGACAGGUUCGAUUACUUGUACCUCUGCAUCCAGUACUCAAAUUGGUCUCUUUGGCUGAAUCCUGAUCUCUCAAGUUUGAACAAAACAGUUAUCGAAAUCUGUCAAAAAUCGAAAAGAAAACUGGAACAGGAAAAAAAUAACGCCAUUCAACUCUAUAAUGAUGGUCAAGUUUUGGAGUAUGUAGUACCCGAGAAUUGUCUCAAUCCUAUACGAGGGUAUCAAAAAUGUACCUGGACCAGCUGCAAAAGCAUAAUUGAAGCAGUUCAAAAACUUGACCUGAUUGGAAGUCACCAGAGUUCUGCUCAUACUGUGUUAGCUCAACUGUCCCUUGAAAAGGAAAAACGUCUCGAAUUACAGAACUUAGUCGAGACACUUACAAACGAUUAUCAAAACAAUCUAAAUGAAUCGAUGUCUCUUUUAGCAGAAAAAAGGAUCCAGGUUUCUGCUAAGUGCGCUGAAGCUGCAAAUUUUUGCCUACAGCAAACACUCGCCAAGUUCUUUCGUGUCGAUGCUAUAAGGUUUGCCUACCACGGAGUGCGAAUGAACCCCAGCAACUCAGAAUGCUUUGAAAUUAUGAUCAGUUUGUUCCAAUUGGAAAUGAAAGAAGCUGAAGAAAGGAUGCAACAAAGGGAGUUCGAGAUGGGGCAAAACUCGAACGAAGACAAUACAACAGAUCUAAUGACACUUGUUGACAGAGACAUUGAGGCAGUUUCGGGCAUUGGUGCAGACGAAAGUUUGCUCGACCACGUGUGAAAAAGUUGUUAUUAUUAAAUAAUCGAUAAAUUUCUUACCGAAUGUCUAUUGUGAUGUAAAGUUUUCUUGGUUACUUCUCUCUAAAUUUUCAGACAACAUUUAGCCUUUUUGCAUCGAUAUUUCAGUCAAAGGAAGACACUGUCGCAGACAAAACAGUCCAACACUUAUAAAUUUCCAUAUUAUUUGUCUACGAGACAAAGUUUCCCAAAUUUUCAUUAUUCAAUUUUCUUUAAAUUUAGGUUAUUCAUAACUGCUGAGGCAUUACGAUUAAGUGCUUGCUGUCGAAAGUAGACAAAAUUAUGGGUAUUUUUCAGUCUUUCGGAGAGUUUUGUCUGGGACACAGUUGUCUGGGAAACAAAUGUCUGGACAUGCUUGCUUAUUGUGAGAACAAUGUUGCGGUUAUAACGAUAAGAACUAUUCUCCUAAUUUUGAUCAUGAUCUCAUUCAGCUGUUUUCACAUUCUGCUACUCUUUAAAAUAUGUAAUCAAUCGUUUCCUAUUAUUUUUUUUGAAAAAAACUGACUUGUAUUGAAAAGUCUCUCUUUUGUUAACAUUAAAAUUAGCUUCCAACUUUUUGUAGUCCUCAGAAUUAAACCAUCAUCACUACU